UACGGAGGGAGCUAGCGUUAAUCGGAAUUACUGGGCGUAAAGCGUGCGUAGACGGCUAUCUAAGUCGGGUGUGAAAGCCCCGGGCUCAACCUGGGAAUUGCAUUCGAGACUGAAUAGCUAGGGUACGGUAGAGGGAAGUGGAAUUUCCGGUGUAGCGGUGAAAUGCGUAGAUAUCGGAAGGAACAUCAGUGGCGAAAGCGACUUCCUGGACCAGUACCGACGUUCAGGCACGAAAGCGUGGGGAGCAAACAGG
rnacentral:rRNA from 1 species